rnacentral:rRNA from 1 species
CCUACGGGCGGCAGCAGUGAGGAAUAUUGGUCAAUGGACGAGAGUCUGAACCAGCCAAGUAGCGUGAAGGAUGACUGCCCUAUGGGUUGUAAACUUCUUUUAUAGGGGAAUAAAAUGUUCCACGUGGGGGAUGUUGUAUGUACCAUAUGAAUAAGGAUCGGCUAACUCCGUGCCAGCAGCCGCGGUAAUACGGAGGAACCGAGCGUUAUCCGGAUUUAUUGGGGUUAACGGGAGCGUAGGGGGAUUGUUAAGUCAGUUGUGAAAGUUUGCGGCUAAACCGGAAAAUUGCCGUUGAAACUGGCAGUCUUGAGUCCAGUCGAGUUUGGCGGCAUUC